GCUUUCUUAGAAAUAAUAGAAAAAAUUUUGGACUAUUUUCCUAACCCAAUCAAGCUCUCACAACCCACAUUGCCUACCCCUACUUCCUCAUUAUCUAACUCGUCAUUCCCAUUCCCUUUCUUUUACACAUUCUCCCUUUCAAAUUUUGUAAAGAAAUCACCUUUUCUUGAAAAUUAAUCCUGAGAAAUCUGCCCUUAAACUUUCAUUUUCCGCUUUUCGAUUAGUCUCCGUAGAAAGUGCCCUAAAUUUAAACCAUUCUUUACCUUUAAUCGGGAAUUUAGCCGCCAAUUUACGAGUUUCCUUCGCAUUUUGAUGAGGACCAUCCAAGGGCUAUACUUCACUGAGUCAACCACCAGAGUUUCAGCCGUCAAUUUUGCCGCUUUCAACCCUUCAUUGCCACCAGUUUCUUCUUUAUCCUUGUUCGAAAACGAACAAAGCUCCUUCACGUGACCGUUCCUUUCGCAAGAGAAGCAAAUGGAAAGUAAGGAUUCAUAUUUGAUUUUUUGAAGUCUGUCAUUAAUCAUAAUCUAGGAUAUUAAGGGUUUAUCUAAAUUCACAAAAAUUUCCAACCUUGCAAAAUAUCCCCUUAGUGGAUUAUCAGUAUUGAAAUCGAGUUUUGCAACCUUACCUAUUAAAACAUUAAUUUUCUUAAGAAUCUUUUUAUUAUACAGGUAAUCGGGCAAGCCUUGUAGUCGUAUCCACGCCAUGACCAUUGUCGGGAAGGGUUGAAAUGGGUUAAACUCCAUUGUCCACGGUUGAACAUUAAGAUAUUGACAGAAGACGAUUCAAGGUCCCUGGAUAAGAAUUUUCUCAUAAUCUUCUUUGUUUUGUAGUUUUACGAGAAAAUACUCAUUUUCCACAUCCAUGAUUCGAAACGAUUUUGAAGGAUGUCAUAGACUCAGAACCCUAUUUAGCAGAGUGGUAUAGCCAAUGCUAUGUCCCAAGAGCUUAACCACUAUAGUAGUUUCCAUAUCCUUUAAAAGAAACUUUUGAACCCUAUCUGAGAAAGAAAUCGCAAAGAUACCAUUUAUUGAGGAUUUUGUAAAGUCUCAUUCAACAAAAUAAAAAACUACACCACCACUUCCCUUGGAUCUUUCUCGAAGUCAAUUAGCGUGCAAUCAACCCUAUUAGCAUGCCAAUCGUAUCUUAUCCUACGUUCAUUUGGACUCAAUACACAUAUCAAAACAUUUAAUACAAUUCAUUU
rnacentral:lncRNA from 1 species